rnacentral:misc_RNA from 1 species
GAAACAUUAUGGAAGGAGAAAAGAAAUACAGAGUUUAUUGGUGAUGUUUCUGCUAGAUUGGCUUGGAAAGAUCUAACAGUAAUGGUUACUCUUAAUAAUGGUGAAACACAGAAUGUUCUAGAAGGACUUACUGGUUAUGCUGAACCUGGAACUUUUACUGCGUUAAUGGGUCCUUCUGGUUCUGGAAAGUCUACUCUUCUCGAUGCUCUCUCUGGUCGUCUUGCUUCGAACGCUUUUCUAUCCGGCAGAGUUUUGCUUAAUGGACGUAAAGCUAAUCUCUCUUUUGGAACUGCGGCAUAUGUGACGCAAGAUGAUACGUUGAUUGGGACAUUGACAGUUAGAGAGACGAUAUCGUAUUCUGCUAGACUACGCCUUCCUGAUCGGAUGCCAUGGUUGGAGAAACGGACGUUGAUUGAGAGUACUAUUAUUGAAAUGGGACUUCAGGAUUGUGCUGAUACAGUUAUUGGAAACUGGCAUUUACGUGGUAUAAGUGGAGGAGAAAAAAGGAGAGUUAGUAUCGCGCUUGAGAUUCUUAUGAGGCCUAGAUUGCUCUUCCUUGAUGAGCCAACUAGUGGUCUUGACAGUGCUUCGGCGUUCUUUGUUACACAGACACUACGUGGUCUGUCGAGAGAUGGAAGGACUGUGAUAGCUUCAAUUCAUCAGCCGAGUAGUGAAGUAUUUGAGUUGUUUGACAGAUUAUAUUUGCUUUCUGGAGGCAAAACAGUUUACUUUGGUCAAGCUUCUGAAGCAUAUGAGUUCUUUGCACAAGCUGGAUUUCCUUGUCCUGCUCUAAGAAAUCCAUCAGAUCAUUUCCUACGAUGUAUCAAUUCUGAUUUCGACAAAGUUAAGGCAACUCUAAAGGGGUCGAUGAAGCUACGGUUUGAGUCCAAUGAGGAUCCUCUUGACAAAACAACGACAGCUGAA